UCCAGAAGCCAACUGGGCGGCUGAGGGUGG
rnacentral:piRNA from 1 species